UCGGGAAUCUUGCACAAUGGGCGAAAGCCUGAUGCAGCAACGCCGUGUGAGCGAGGAAGGUCUUCGGAUCGUAAAGCUCUGUUGUUGGGGACGAAGGGCGAAGGGUUAAUAGCCCCUAGCCUGACGGUACCCUUCGAGGAAGCCCCGGCUAACUACGUGCCAGCAGCCGCGGUAAUACGUAGGGGGCGAGCGUUGUCCGGAACUAUUGGGCGUAAAGCGUCCGCAGGUGGUUUUUCAAGUCCGCUGUCAAAGACCGGACCUUAACUCCGGACAGGCAGUAGAAACUGAGGAACUAGAGACCGGUAGGGGUAGAGGGAAUUCCCAGUGUAGCGGUGAAAUGCGUAGAGAUUGGGAAGAACACCAGUGGCGAAAGCGCUCUACUGGGCCGGUACUGACACUCACAGGACGAAAGCUAGGGGAGCGAAAGGGAUUAGAUACCCCCGUAGUCC
rnacentral:rRNA from 1 species